ensembl:snRNA U1 U1 spliceosomal RNA
AUACUUACCUGACGGGAGAGAUACCGUGAUCAGUAAGGCGGUUCCCUCAUGGUGAGACUCACCCAUUGCACUCCGGGGGGGUUGACCCUUGCGAUUUCCCCAAAUGUGGGAAACUCGACCGUACUAUUUGUGGUAGUGGGGGACUGCGUUCGCGCUAUCCCCUC